GACGUAGGGCGCGAGCGUUAUCCGGAAUUAUUGGGCGUAAAGAGCUCGUAGGCGGUUUGUCGCGUCUGCCGUCGAAAGUCCGGGGCCUCAACCCCGGAUCGGCCGUGCGAACUGUUUUGCUUGAGCACUGUAGAGGCAGGCGGAAUUCCGGGUGCAGCGGUGGAAUGCGAGGAGAUCCGGAAGAACACCGGGUGGCGAAGGCGGCCUGCUGGGCAGUGAGCUGACACUGAGGGCGGCGCAGCGUGGGGGAGCAAACAGGG
rnacentral:rRNA from 1 species